rnacentral:rRNA from 1 species
AACGAACGCUGGCGGCGUGCUUAACACAUGCAAGUCGAACGCGAAAGGGACGUUCGGUCCUGAGUAAAGUGGCGCACGGGUGAGUAACGCGUAGAUAACCUGUCUUCAUGUCUGGAAUAAUACGCCGAAAGGGGUACUAAUACCGGAUAUUCUUGCUUUUCAUAAGUUAUGCAAGCAAAGGUGGCCUCUGCAUAUGCUACUGCAUGAAGAGGGGUCUGCGUACCAUUAGCUAGUAGGUGGGGUAAUGGCCUACCUAGGCGACGAUGGUUAGCGGGUCUGAGAGGAUGAUCCGCCACACUGGCACUGGAACACGGGCCAGACUCCUACGGGAGGCAGCAGUGAGGAAUAUUGCGCAAUGGGGGAAACCCUGACGCAGCGACGCCGCGUGAGUGAGGAAGGCCUUCGGGUCGUAAAGCUCUGUCAAGAGGAAAGAAGUGUACAAUGGCUAAUACCUGUUGUAUUUGACGGUACCUCUAAAGGAAGCACCGGCUAACUCCGUGCCAGCCGCCGC